CUGAACAGCCAGAGAUAACUAGGAAGGGCUGUUUCUGAAUUCUCUGGAAUCAGUCCCACCACCUCAAGCCCUAGGGAGAGGAAUGAGUCAAACAGAGUGAAAUCAACAAGGUAGCUCCUUGGGGGAUGGGGGAGGGGAAAUUGAUAAAUCCAACUGUUUGCUGAACCUCAGACUUUGUAUCCUAGAAAAUACCACUGGAAUCUAUCAACAGAGGACUCUUAAAGCAAUUGUAUCUGCUGCAGCCUUGACUCCAGAGACCCCUACUGGUUCACAGCUGAUGACUGAAGGAAUUGACACCAAAGAGUCCACAAGUGCCAGGCUCUUAAGGCUCUUUUUGCGGAGAGAUGGCUCUGGCUCUGUUGGUGGAGAGGUGACUGGUGGCAGCGUGCCGGGAAUCUUGGCAUCCUGGCAUGGCUGCAGCUAUUGUCCGGGUUUGGUGGUUCAAAGAAAGAAGCAAAGUUAGUGGCAAUAGGUUACCUCUUCAAAUCAUUGAAAAUCCACCCCAAUCCUUCUCUUCUAUCACCAAGGUAACCUAGGAAACGUGUUCAUUCAGUUCUGUUUCCAGUUUUAGCAGUGUCAAUUGGGGAUUUGCAAAACCAUGCUGUCAUACAAGUCUUCCCAGAGUCCAUAUGUUUCUAAUGUACAGUGCAUAAUUUAAUGACGAGACACUUCAGUGGUCUACCCACUGCAAAUCUCAGUUGUUAAAAGUGUCUGGAGCAAGAUGCCUUUAGAUAGUAGUCACUUUUUGGUACAUUAAUUUUCUCACACUCAGAAGCAGAAAAUGUAAUACUAGCUGUCACUUUAUGUAAAGCUCUGUUUACUUUUAAAUGCUAUUUACAGUCUAAAUGUCUUGUUCAAACUGAUUAACUAUAGAGGGAUUUAAAACUUUUAUUAGACCUAUUUGUUAUGCUUUUUUCCCCUCUCCUUCCCUAUUGGAGUUUAGGAAAUCUACCUAACCAACAUUUAAACAAUAUGUUUUCAAGACAACAUUAGAAAAGAAUAAGAAAACAGUAUUUCAGAAAUGAUUGAAACUGAAAAUAUAAAACUAAAUUUUAUAGCAGAGAAGAGACUAUAAUCUUUUAAUUUAAUACCCUCUACUCUGUGCAAGUGGGAGUGGAAAAACAAAGGUAGAAUAACUAACCCUGCCACAAUACUUCAAUGGCUACUAAACCAUAUCUUCCUUUAUAAUUCAUAUAGACUAACUUGGUUGUUGCUGACUGCUAUGGUAUCCAACAAAACUUGGAUAAAAAUAUGUAAAAUUUAAUUUCAUGUGACCAAAUGUGGUUAUCCCACUUAAGGCAAAAUACAGAGGAAGUCAUGAAUUAAAAUUCUAAAUUUUAGCAAAAAGGGAAAAUAAAACAUGGAAAGUAAGGAAACA
rnacentral:lncRNA from 1 species